UAGGCGCACGGGUGAGUAACACGUGAAUUAUCUACCUCCCGAGUGGGGAAUAACUGAGAGAAAUCUUAGCUAAUACCGCAUAACACUUACGAGUCAAAGCAGCAAUGCGCUUGGAGAGGAGUUCGCGGCCGAUUAGUUAGUUGGCGGGGUAAUGGCCCACCAAGACGAUGAUCGGUAUCCGGCCUGAGAGGGCGCACGGACACACUGGAACUGAAACACGGUCCAG
rnacentral:rRNA from 1 species